GCUGGUAGCUAGCUCUUAGCAACUCUCCCAUGGAUGCCCACUGAAGCUAAGCAGGGCUGUGCCUGGUCAGAUCCUGGAUGGGAGAUCGCAUGGAAAAGCUAGAUUGCUGCCGGAA
rnacentral:rRNA from 1 species